GGAAGGUGCAAGCGUUAAUCGGAAUUACUGGGCGUAAAGCGCGCGUAGGCGGCUAGAUAAGUCGGGUGUGAAAGCCCUGGGCUCAACCUGGGAACUGCAUUCGAUACUGUCUAGCUAGAGUGUGGUAGAGGGAGGCGGAAUUCCGCAUGUAGCGGCGAAAUGCGUAGAGAUGCGGAGGAACACCAAUGGCGAAGGCAGCCUUCUGGACCAACACUGACGCUGAGGCGCGAAAGCGUGGGGGGAGCAAACAGUAUUAGAUACCCUGGUAGUCCACGCCGUAAACGAUGUCAACUAGCCGUUGGGAGCAUUUUGGCUCUUGGUGGCGCAGCUAACGCGAUAAGUUGACCGCCUGGGGAGUACGGUCGCAAGAUUA
rnacentral:rRNA from 1 species